rnacentral:lncRNA from 1 species
AAGAUGGCGGCGUUUGCGCGGGGUGUAACCACUGCGUCCUUACGGGGGUUGCAAGGCGUCCGAAGUAUGAGUCCACUAACAAAAGUCCAGAAACUCGCCAGUUAAUAGUAUUGUGUCUCUUCAAAAUAUCGGAAAAUAAUUUCUUUCUCGCUGAUCGCCUAACUUCUACUGACGAGGCUAGGAAGUUGCAGAAGAAAUACAAAAAAAUUCUAAAACUUGUAUGGAACUACAAAAGACAUUAAAUAAUUAAAGUAAUCUUGAGCAACAAGGACACAGCUGGAGGCAUCACUCUACCUGAUUUUGUAAUCCAUUAUCAAAAAACUGUGGUACCAGCAUAAAAACAGAUUCACUGACCAGUGGAACAGGAUAGCCCAGACAUAACUCAUGCAUUUUCAUCCAAUUGAUUUUUGACAAAAGUGGCACACAGAAUGGGGAGAGGAUAGAUAAAUAAAUAAAUUGUUUUGAGAUAUCUGUA